CAAGGGGCCCUGCAUUUUCAUUUUCCCUGGGCUCUGCAAAUUGUGUAGCCAGCCCUGCCUACAGGAGACAGGCAUCCUUCCCUCAAGACCUGAAGUUUAGGGCUGAAGCAUCUGACACUGAUAUAUGACCUUCCUUCAGAAUCCCUGGAACCUGCAUGUGAUUCUCCCACUGGAAAAUGCUAUAAUAGUCACAGUGAAGUUUCUCCUACCCUGUUACCUCCAACAUCAUAUCAUCUGACAGAACAUAUAGCCCCAGGGGCAAGGCUGAUUGAACCACAGCCCAGAUCUCUUGAGAAGCUCUGUCCCAUUUAAAAUCGACACCCUCACAGCAAGAUCCUUCUUGACCCACCUCCUAGAGAAAUGGAAAUAAAAACAAAAAUAAACAAAUGGGACCUAAUGAAACUUAAAAGCUUUUGCACAGCAAAGGAAACCAUAAA